CCAGCCACCACACAACGAAUAGGCCCAAAGCCCAAUUUGCAGCCCUAGCUGAGCUGCGCCGGAGCGGAAGCCGCGAGGUAGCCGCGGCCGCCGUCGAAGCAAGAGGGCGAGAUGUCGUUUCUGGCGCAGGAGAUGUGGUGGUACGGCGCGUGGGCGGCGAGGGGAAGCUGCCGGCGGAGCUGAUGAAGUCGGUGAAGCACAUGCUCCCUGACAACAAGGUCGUCCUGGGGCAUUGGGGCGGGCCAGGCGCGGCAUCUUCGCCGGCCGCCACAUCCAGCUCGGGAACAAGGUCUCCGAGGACGGCGGCAACAAGGCUGGUCCCCGAAGAAAAUGCACAAAUUCAACUAGAGAAUAAGAUUGCGUAGGGUGAGCUCUACCUGGGAGAGCAAGGCUGCACUGUUCAGUUGUUACCUCCCAUCCGGCCCUGCAUGGUACCAUCUUGGUAUCCGGAUUGAUUUGUGAUGUACUAACUCCGAUUACAUGCAUGUCAGUGCUGAGUUGUUUUUUUCUUCCUUCCAUGUUUCUUUAUGUGUUUUUGUUGCGGUGCAUACGCACAACAGGUUCGGUUGAAGCCUUGAAGGUAAUGCGGUGUUGAAUUUUCUUUCUUACAAUUCAUACUUUGGUUCGUAAUUUUGGUAAUGCUCUGAAAUGGCGUGUUGGUUGUGUAAUGCUUGAAUAAGUUCAGUGUUAGCUGCCUGUGCAAGGAUCAUCCUGUUGGUCCAGGUUGACAAAUUUUUUCCUGUAACGGCUGUUACCUUUUACUUCUAGAAUAUUAUGCUUAAAGUCACAGAUUGCAAAAGAAAAGCCCAACUGCUAUUUUGGUUGUCUCAAAAGCAUACUAGCAAAGAGGGCUCUCUGAUCUAAUCCUGAAAUUAUUUUCUUGAUAUAUGGAUGUACCACUUACAACUAGAUUCAAGCUACUGUAAUAAAUAGAGGAGAGAAUUCAAAUUGUCACUAUUUCUUUAUAGCAUUGGUAACAGAGAAAGAUAAUGUCGUGUUGCCAUGAGCUAAAAUAGGUUUUUGUGCUUUUCAGUUUGAGUGAAGCGCUUAUCAUGCAGGCUAUUGAUGUGCAUACUAUACUACAGAGGUAAAUAAUGUUAACAGUUGUAUUUCUUUUUGUUACUCAUGCUUUGAAGCUGCGAGUUCUGCUUGGGCAAACUGUGUUUGUAGAUGUGGGCUUUGAUUGCCCCUUUCGCUAACUCUUGAGUGGUAGGUCUUUGACUAUUUGCUCCUUCAGAACAGUGACUGACUUCUGCUAAGCAUAGGCCUUGUUCGUGUUGAAGGUGAGGUGAGAUCUGAAUUUCACGAAGCUCGUUAGCUUUAUCAUAUUCUUAUUCAAUUUCUCCCAUGGAUAAAAUGUUGUCAGAGGAGUUACCUUAUUAGACAAUCUUAUUAAUAAUCUUAGUAGAUAAGCUCAGAGAUAAUUUUUCCUCCUAUAUUCUCAGAUUGAGUGAAACGAUGCUAUGUCAUUGAUAAAUCGUGUAGUUUCUGGGUCUUAGUACAAUGAUACUUGCCUUUCUAUUUAUUUCAUCAAUGUAACAAGUAUUCUACCAUGAUGUUGCAUUCAGUUAAAAAAAGUGGAGGUUUUAAUUUACAUGAUGAUUUGAUGAUCCUAAUCACAUUGCCUGACAAUGGACAAACAGUAACACUUGACCAAUGCACUAUAUCUUUCAGCAGCCGUGUCGGGCCAGCGGCAACAUAGUGUAAUUGCCGUGGUUUUUCUGAUGCAUUUUUUGGGCCAGCGGAGUAGUGGACAAUGGCGAGGCUUUGUCAAACAUGUGGCAGCUGGUUAUUCCCAUCCUCAAACAUCUUGUAGGCGAUCUCCGCGCUGGAGGCAAGACCAGAGAGGAUCCUGAUGGGUGAUGACAGAGCUGCUGCUUCCUGAUGACUGAUGACAGAUCGAGCUGCUGCUGACCAGUCUCCGAUGGAGGGCUGCUUUGGGCAGAUGGUGAAUGGGUACAUGGACAGAUAUGCAGUGAGACUGGGGAGAUGCCUGGUGUGCUUGAAGCUGCCACCAGUUUGUGCUGUUUCUUUCGCUGAUGUAUGUGGACAAUAGAUAGUUAGGUUGUGGGAAGAUCGAUCAUUGCUGGGGUCUCAGACCUGUUUUUUCUUUUGAUUUGCUGCCUUGCUAGGUGUUGUUUUGCAUGGGCGUAAGAUGAUGUAAAACUUUUAUAUCCUGUUGCAAGGCAUGAUGGGCAAGGGAACUUAUCCUUUGAAGAACUCUAAUAAAAAAAACUACCAAUAAGCACACCUUUCAUAGAUGUGGAUUUUCUCAGAA